GUGACCAGCAAAGUUACGUGAAUUGAUAUCCUGCAAAAUUAUUGAAGAUAUCAGCACUGGACCCUGAGCAGUGCAUGGCCUGCAAGAUCAUGAGAAGGCUGAAGAACCAGGAGUGACAAGAUACCACUGGAUGGUGGGGCACAUAAUUCCACUCAGGGACAGUGAUCUGAAAAUGUCUGUUUACCAACGGUCCC